GGAGGCAGCAGUGGGGAAUAUUGCACAAUGGGCGCAAGCCUGAUGCAGCCAUGCCGCGUGUAUGAAGAAGGCCUUCGGGUUGUAAAGUACUUUCAGCGAGGAGGAAGGCAUUAAGGUUAAUAACCUUGGUGAUUGACGUUACUCGCAGAAGAAGCACCGGCUAACUCCGUGCCAGCAGCCGCGGUAAUACGGAGGGUGCAAGCGUUAAUCGGAAUUACUGGGCGUAAAGCGCACGCAGGCGGUCUGUCAAGUCGG
rnacentral:rRNA from 1 species